UACGAAGGGGGCUAGCGUUGUUCGGAAUUACUGGGCGUAAAGCGCGCGUAGGCGGUGAUCUUUGUCAGAGGUGAAAGCCUGGGGCUCAACUCCAGAAUUGCCUUUGAAACGGGAUUGCUUGAGUCCGAGAGAGGAUGGCGGAAUUCCUAGUGUAGAGGUGAAAAUUCGUAGAUAUUAGGAAGAACACCGGUGGCGAAGGCGGCCAUCUGGCUCGGUACUGACGCUCAGGCGCGAAAGCGUGGGGAGCAAACAGG
rnacentral:rRNA from 1 species